AGUGAACGCUGGCGGUAGGCCUAACACAUGCAAGUCGAACGGCAGCACAGUAAGAGCUUGCUCUUACGGGUGGCGAGUGGCGGACGGGUGAGGAAUACAUCGGAAUCUACUUUUUCGUGGGGGAUAACGUAGGGAAACUUACGCUAAUACCGCAUACGACCUACGGGUGAAAGCAGGGGAUCUUCGGACCUUGCGCGAUUGAAUGAGCCGAUGUCGGAUUAGCUAGUUUGCGGGGUAAAGGCCCACCAAGGCGACGAUCCGUAGCUGGUCUGAGAGGAUGAUCAGCUACACUGGAACUGAGACACGGUCCCGACUCCUGCGGGAGGCAGCAGUGGGGAAUAUUGGACGAUGGGCGAGAGCCUGAUCCAGCCAUACCGCGUAGGUGAAGAAGGCCUUCGGGUUGUAGAGCCCUUUUGUUGGGAAAGAAAAGCAGCAGGUUAAUACCCCGCUGUUCUGACGGUACCCAAAGAAUAAGCACCGGCUAACUUCGUG
rnacentral:rRNA from 1 species